UAAUGAUUGACAGUACACGUCAACUGUAAUUGUCAGUUUUUCACAUCACAAAAUCGUACAAAAUGAAAUGAGUAAACAGCAAAUCAUUGUUUUAGUAACAGCGUCCGCUUUAUUCUCCUGCGCAGCCACCGUUUUGGAGAAGAGCGGCCGAGGACCUCGGUGGCCAUGAUGAUUUCGUAAGAAGAAAUCGAAGACCCAAUGGCUACCGUCAAAUAAUGGACCCAACAACCUUCCAUACAACCAUAUCCUCAUCAAAUACCAGGCCUUCCCAGCUGACCAUCUAACAUAACCAACUCCAAAAAUCACAGCGAAAGAGCAUCAGUUUCCACGAUGAACAACGGAAUCAAGCCAACGCGCCUAUGGCAU